AGAAGAAGAAACGUCUCUUCCUCUGUCUUCUGUGGUGAUAAAGUGACCUCUGUUGCUAGCUGUUAGCCUCCUCUACAACGAUGGUUCCUCCGGUUGCAGUGUCGCCUUUGAUUAAGACAGCCAGGUAUUCAGCUUUGAUUGCUGGAGUCAUCUAUGGCAAAAGGCGAUAUGACUACCUGAAGCCAAUAGCAGCUGAGGAGAGGAGGAUUGAGGAAGAGGAGAAAAAGAUCCGUGAGGAGCAGGAGCGCAUUGCCAAGCAACUAGCAGAAGCAAGUGAAGACACCAUUCUGAAGUGAAGCUGAUGUGCUGUGUGAAGAUCCUGACGUCCAAACUCCAAACCUCUCCCUCCGUUUUCUGGAGCAACAAUGGCAAUGUUUGAUCACAGCCAAUCUAACAGUCCCAUGUUCUGGAUGUGUUCACUGUUGUGUUGAAUGUUGCCAGAUCCAAUGAUUUAAAGUUAAUUACGUGAUAUGAAAAAAAGCAUUGUAAUACUGCAAAUACAGCUGUACCAAUAUAUUAAGUUCAUGUUUGUAAUGAAGCAGUCAUAAAUACAGAAGUACACAACCUCUGUAGUUUUUGUUUACCAGCAUAUGGUAUUUGACUAUGAUCGGUUUGUUACAGCACAGAUUAGACCGAUCUAAUAUCACAGCAGCUUCUUGUUUCAUAAUUAAAAAUGUUAUUCACAUUAGUCAUCAUAUAAAAUGCGAGGUUUUCAUUUGUCCCACAUUUUAUCCUCGGAUGAUUCUACAUUGCUUCCUACUUGCAAACACCUUUGUAGAUCUCAUUAGAAUGAAUACAGAUCUAAUUUAUUGUAUUGACUUAUUUACAAGCAGGUACAUAGGUGUCAUAAAACAAAUCUCUCCAAGACUUCAAAUAGUAUUUUAUCAAUAUUUUUAUGGAAAAGGCACUGAAGGAGUUUGGUGACUUUGUAUACAGGUCAGUGUUUAACUUCUCCCUGCUGAGUUACUCAUGUUGAAAUUGUACAUAUGAUGAUGAUGGAAAAACACUAGAUGCAGCCAUAAUACACCUGCCAUGUGAUCAUUUUGUUGGCUUGAGCCUGGACGUGUGUUCACGUUAUUACUAGAACAACAGUGCCAGGGCUGACUGAAAGUACAGCUGGACUUGCCGACAUGCCAUUUGUCUAGACUUACUGUAGCUUUCACUACUGUAGUUAGGAAACAUUCUCUUCUCAAGACUGGUGAGGGGAACUUAAAUGUGUGUGGUGAAUGGGAUUUUUU